GCUUGUCUCAAAGAUUAAGCCAUGCAUGUCUAAGUAUAAAUGUUAUACAGUGAAACUGCGAAUGGCUCAUUAAAACAGUUAUAGUUUAUUUGAUAAUCGAAUUUUACAUGGAUAACCGUGGAAAUUCUAGAGCUAAUACAUGCUGGUUAGCCUGACUUCUAGGAAGGGCUGUAUUUAAUAGAUAACAAACCUAUAUUCCUCGUGUCUAUUGUGAUGAAUCAUAAUAACUGAUCGAAUCGCAUUGGCCUUGCCCGCGAUACAUCAUUCAAGUUUCUGCCCCAUCAGCUUUCGAUGGUAGUGUAUUGGACUACCAUGGCUUUAAAUGGUAACGGAGUAUUAUAGUUCGAUUCCGGAAAGGGAGCCUGAGAAACGGCUACCACAUCUAAGGAAGGCAGCAGG
rnacentral:rRNA from 1 species